rnacentral:rRNA from 1 species
GACGAACGCUGGCGGCGUGCUUAACACAUGCAAGUCGAACGGUAAGGCCCUUCGGGGUACACGAGUGGCGAACGGGUGAGUAACACGUGGGUGAUCUGCCCUGCACUUCGGGAUAAGCCUGGGAAACUGGGUCUAAUACCGGAUAGGACCACUGCCUGCAUGGGUGGUGGUGGAAAGCUUUUGCGGUGUGGGAUGGGCCCGCGGCCUAUCAGCUUGGUGGUGGGGUGAUGGCCUACCAAGGCGACGACGGGUAGCCGGCCUGAGAGGGUGACCGGACAAACUGGGACUGAGAUACGGACCAGACUCCUGCGGGAGGCAGCAGUGGGGAAUAUGGCACAAUGGGCGCAAGCCUGAUGCAGCGACGCCGCGUGAGGGAUGACGGCCUUCGGGUUGUAAACCUCUUCAGCACCGACGAAGCGCAAGUGACGGUAGGUGCAGAAGAAGGACCGGCCAACUACGUGCCAGCAGCCGCCGUAA